rnacentral:rRNA from 1 species
ACGCACGCUGGCGGCGUGCCUAAUCCCUGCAAGUCGAACGCUUCUUUCCUCCCGAGUGCUUGCACUCAAUUGGAAAGAGGAGUGGCGGACGGGUGAGUAACACGUGGGUAACCUACCCAUCAGAGGGGGAUAACACUUGGAAACAGGUGCUAAUACCGCAUAACAGUUUAUGCCGCAUGGCAUAAGAGUGAAAGGCGCUUUCGGGUGUCGUUGAUGGAUGGACCCGCGGUGCAUUAGCUAGUUGGUGAGGUAACGGCUCACCAAGGCCACGAUGCAUAGCCGACCUGAGAGGGUGAUCGGCCACACUGGGACUGAGACACGGCCCAGACUCCUACGGGAGGCAGCAGUAGGGAAUCUUCGGCAAUGGACGAAAGUCUGACCGAGCAACGCCGCGUGAGUGAAGAAGGUUUUCGGAUCGUAAAACUCUGUUGUUAGAGAAGAACAAGGACGUUAGUAACUGAACGUCCCCUGACGGUAUCUAACCAGAAAGCCACGGCUAACUACGUG